rnacentral:rRNA from 1 species
GACGAACGCUGGCGGCGUGCCUAACACAUGCAAGUCGAGCGGAGAAUUCAGCAAUGGAUUCUUAGCGGCGGACGGGUGAGUAACGCGUGGCAACCUGCCUUGUACAGGGGGAUAACACAGGGAAACUUGUGCUAAUACCGCAUAACAUCACGGAUGGACAUCCAUUGGUGAUCAAAGGAGCAAUCCGGUAUAAGAUGGGCCCGCGUCCAAUUAGCUAGUUGGUGGUGUAACGGACCACCAAGGCGACGAUUGGUAGCCGAACUGAGAGGUUGAUCGGCCACAUUGGGACUGAGACACGGCCCAGACUCCUACGGGAGGCAGCAGUGGGGAAUAUUGCGCAAUGGUGGAAACCCUGACGCAGCAACGCCGCGUGAAGGAUGAAGGUUUUCGGAUCGUAAACUUCUUUGAUGAGGGACGAAACAAAUGACGGUACCUCAAAAACAAGCCACGGCUAACUACGUGCCAGCAGCCGCCGUAAGAC